rnacentral:rRNA from 1 species
AUUGAACGCUAGCGGCAUGCCUUACACAUGCAAGUCGAACGAGUGGCGGACGGGUGAGUAAUAUCUCGGAAAGUGCCCAGUGGAGGGGGAUAACUACUCGAAAGCGUAGCUAAUACCGCAUACUAUUGGAUCUGCCCAUAUGGGAUUAGCUAGUUGGUGGGGUAAAGGCUCACCAAGGCAACGAUCCGUAGCUGGUUUGAGAGGACGACCAGCCACACUGGAACUGAGACACGGCCCAGACUCCGACGGGAGGCAGCAGUGGGGAAUAUUGCACAAUGGGGGAAAGCCUGAUGCAGCCAUGCCGCGUGUAUGAGAAGGCCUUCGGGUUGUAAAGUACUUUUGGCAGAGAGGCGGUAUCUGCAGAAGAAGCACCGGCUAACUACGUGCCAGCAGCCGCGGUAAUUC